AUCAAGACGGAGUAUUGCUUUUAAUCGAGCCGGCUACGAAUCCUCCAGUUUAUGCAAGUCCGGAGGCCGAUGAAAAUAUUGCCAUGGAUGGGUCUGAAAGAACUGAGACUGUGGUCGAGGAAGCGGCGGGUACAUCAGGGUCGCAAUAUCAGCAUUUGACUACUAAAGAAUUAUAUCGACUUCAUCUUCAGC